rnacentral:rRNA from 1 species
GACAGAGGGGGCAAGCGUUGCUCGGAAUUACUGGGCGUAAAGCGCGUGUAGGUGGUGGGACAAGUCUGCUGUGAAAGCGCCUGGCUUAACCGGGCGAGGUCGGCGGAAACUGUCCGACUCGAGGACGGUAGAGGGGGGUGGAAUUCCCGGUGUAGUGGUGAAAUGCGUAGAGAUCGGGAGGAACACCUGUGGCGAAGGCGGCCCCCUGGGCCGGCCCUGACACUGAGACGCGAAGGCGUGGGGAGCGAACGGG